rnacentral:rRNA from 1 species
UUGACCUCAAAUCAGGUAGGACUACCCGCUGAACUUAAGCAUAUCAUAAGCGGAAGGAAA